rnacentral:rRNA from 1 species
UGUUGUGGCCAAACCUCUUUGUCAAAGCCUGGUAUUGUCAAAUCUCAAAAGCUAAACAAGACUGGGCCUGGUUAGUACUUGGAUAGGAGACCACUGGGAAUACGCUAGGGCACCAGUGG